CGAAGACAUAUACAUGGAAAAUGGACGCUUCUUGCUUUCAAAAACAAACACAAAAAGCAAAGAGUUUACCAAUGUACAAGAUUUAUGUUAAAGGAAUUAUACCAAGAUUUCAGUCUUAAAUUUUAGCCUUGGACUUAGUAUCUAAAUUGAAUUAGGAAACCACACUUAAUCUGACUUCAUCUCAUUUUGAUGUGUUGCUUCAGACUUUAACUAAUAUAUUAGGGUUUUGUUUUGUCUUGUUUUCAAUGUAUCCAGUUUGUUCAAAAGACUUCAGCCUAGGUCGGUUACAGGAAAACAAUCAUACCGUCCUAUUGACUAAUUAUGCCCAAAAUAGUUCACAUCAGACACAGUUGUAGGGUAAAAUCAUGUUUCUAGAUUAGGCUCAGAAGCUGGGAUGAGAAGGAGGAACUCAAAGGAAUUUUAUUUUUAGAUGUGAUCAAAUUUAGUAAAGAGAAGGAACAGGCUGCGGUUUCAGAAACAACGGAUAGGGCUCAAGAGGAAGGUCACCAGCAAGUAAGAUACAAGGGUCUGAAACCUCCAGAAUCCAGCGGAUCCCAGGUAAGGAAAUUACAAUGGAAAUCAGAGACAAAAUGGGGAAAAAAGAAGCCACAUGUUGCAGAUGACCUCAUAUCAAGAAAGUGAUCUGAAUCUCUAAAGCAUUGCUUGAAGAGAAGCUGUCCAGGAAAGCUACAUGACCAGGAACAGAUGCAUGGACUUCAAGUGAGCGAUAAGCAAACUAUCAUGGGAGAAGCCACUGAGACGCUGAGCAUUUCCUCUCAGCAGUCAACAUACCUUAGUGAGUAUUCACAGGAUGAAAAGCUGAAAGUGUGCUAGGGACACAAAUGGAUCGGUAGAUUUCAUAGAAAGAAGACUGGGGUAGCUUCUAAAUGUGUGUUUUUUAAAAUGGCCCAAGUUUAUAAGCUAGGAAGGGGGGAAAGGAGAGUUUGGUAUAGGAUGUUUGAGUAGGAAAGCAGGCAUGUAUUUGUCAUUUUGGCGAAUGAGAAAGUGAACACACUGAGGAGUUUAGUAGACAUGCUGGAUAGCGGCAACAUCCGAUUUGAGAUUUGAGAUCACAAAUGUAAUAUGUCUAACAUUGGUUGAAAGACAUUCUAGUUAAGCAUACAAACAAACACAAGCUUGUUUCAGAACAAAGGUAAAGAAUUCAGACUUCAUCUAAUUACACUUUGAUGAAUAAAAGGAGAUUAUAAGAUAUUUAAAGAGGGAAGAACAGGACAAUUUCAGAUGGAUCAAGCAAGGCUGAACAAGGGACAAUGGCUUUCGCUGCUGUAAAUAGUACUAUGGCACAACAGGAGAAUCAAUGAGGGGAGAAACUGGUGCAGCAGUUUUGAAAUAUCUACAGAAGACUUGACAACAAUACUUGAAUGAGGACAAUAUCUCUGGUUUAUUGAAUGUUGAUCAUGUGCCCAAGAGUACAUUAAGUCGUUACAUAUCAAGAUAUGUAAUCUGUGAGGGAAAUAUUGAUUUUAUGUCCUUAUUUUAAAUGUGAAGAAAAAAGGACCCAUUACAGUGAAGAGAUUUGCCCAGUGGUGCACAAUUAGAAAAUGGCAGAGCGAGAUUCAACUCCACACAAUCAGAUUCCGGAACCAACUGCUUCCCCAAAGCUCUAGUUCCCCCAAAGCUCUAGUUCCCUCCCUACAGAGGGCCUUUGGCUAAGACACCAGGUGCUUACAUUUUUAUUAAGUCACUACUCUGAGGCCCAAGGGAGCUGAGGAAAUUGAGAGCAUGCAAGAGAAAUGGUGCUUCCACUGGUGUUUUCACCAAAUAAAUUAAAAUUUAACCAUAAAAAAAUUAUUAAAAAGCACAAAAGAUGCUGAUAUGCUUAUGAAGUUCCUGCUUAUGAAGUUCCUUUUUUAUAAUAAAGAAAUUAUAUUUAAUCUACGUGGGCUUGCUCUUUAGUCAAAAUACACUUCUGUCUCCUAUUCAGUCAUCCUUCCACUGCUUUAAAGCAAUUUACUUUGUUAUGUCAAUUUUAAUGUAAAAUGAUUUGUUUUAG
rnacentral:lncRNA from 10 species